AGAGUUUGAUCCUGGCUCAGGACGAACGCUGCGGCGUGCCUACCACAUGCAAGUCGAGCGAGGAGAUUCCUUCGGGGAUGAACUAGCGGCGGACGGGUGAGUAACACGUGGGCAACCUGCCUUAUAGUAGGGGAAUAGCCUCCGAAAGGAAGAUUAAUACCGCAUAACAUUACAUGUCGCAUGAAGAAGUAAUUAAAGGAGUAAUCCGCUAUAAGAUGGGCCCGCGGCGCAUUAGCUAGUUGGUGAGGUAACGGCUCACCAAGGCGACGAUGCGUAGCCGACCUGAGAGGGUGAUCGGCCACAUUGGGACUGAGACACGGCCCAGACUCCUACGGGAGGCAGCAGUGGGGAAUAUUGCACAAUGGGGGAAACCCUGAUGCAGCAACGCCGCGUGAGUGAUGAAGGUCUUCGGAUCGUAAAGCUCUGUCUUCAGGGACGAUAAUGACGGUACCUGAGGAGGAAGCCACGGCUAACUACGUGCCAGCAGCCGCGGUAAUACGUAGGUGGCGAGCGUUGUCCGGAUUUACUGGGCGUAAAGGGAGCGUAGGCGGAUUUUUAAGUGAGAUGUGAAAUACCCGGGCUCAACUUGGGUGCUGCAUUUCAAACUGGAAGUCUAGAGUGCAGGAGAGGAGAGUGGAAUUCCUAGUGUAGCGGUGAAAUGCGUAGAGAUUAGGAAGAACACCAGUGGCGAAGGCGACUCUCUGGACUGUAACUGACGCUGAGGCUCGAAAGCGUGGGGAGCAACAGGAUAGAUACCCUGGUAGUCACGCCGUAACGAUGAAUACUAGGUGUAGGGGUUGUCAUGACCUCUGUGCCGCCGCAAACGCAUUAAGUAUUCCGCCUGGGGAGUACGGUCGCAAGAUUAAAACUCAAAGGAAUUGACGGGGGCCCGCACAAGCAGCGGAGCAUGUGGUUUAAUUCGAAGCAACGCGAAGAACCUUACCUAGACUUGACAUCUCCUGAAUUACUCUUAAUCGAGGAAGUCCCUUCGGGGACAGGAAGACAGGUGGUGCAUGGUUGUCGUCAGCUCGUGUCGUGAGAUGUUGGGUUAAGUCCCGCAACGAGCGCAACCCUUAUUGUUAGUUGCUACCAUUAAGUUGAGCACUCUAGCAAGACUGCCCGGGUUAACCGGGAGGAAGGUGGGGAUGACGUCAAAUCAUCAUGCCCCUUAUGUCUAGGGCUACACACGUGCUACAAUGGCAAGUACAAAAAGAUGCAAUACCGCAAGGUGGAGCUAAACUUAAAAACUUGUCUCAGUUCGGAUUGUAGGCUGAAACUCGCCUACAUGAAGCUGGAGUUGCUAGUAAUCGCGAAUCAUAUGUCGCGGUGAAUACGUUCCCGGGCCUUGUACACACCGCCCGUCACACCAUGAGAGUUGGCAAUACCCAAAGUUCGUGAGCUACCCGUAGGGAAGCAGCGACCUACAUAGGGUCAGCGAUUGAGUGAAGUCGUAACAAGGUAACC
rnacentral:rRNA from 1 species